AUUGGAACACCGGUUCCCGUACUAUCGCCGAAGUUAAGCAUUGUCGAGCCUGGCCAGUACCUAGAUGGAUGACCGUUUGGGAAUG